UAGGUCUUUCUGAAGAUGAAUUAUUCAAGAUUUACAAGAUAAGAAAAUUCACGCACCACUCAUCAGACUGCGUCCGAGGUUCUAAUUGCAUUGAGAGUAAAUCUCGCAUUAACCGUAACUCUGUUCAUACUGGACUUCAGCUGAGUACCUCUAUCAAGGGAAAAGGAACUAAAUUGGUUUACAACGUACAGGAUAUGGUUAAGGAACUCAAGCUCAGCACAACUUGGAUAGGAGUUUUCACUUUUAUUCACAUAUAUCUUAAAUUGCUUAAUUACACACAAAAAAUUUCAAGUAAGAGUCGGACACUUUAUAAAAUGUUGGCAUAGUCCAAAAGUUUUAGCAAAGAUCUUCCUAACUUUUAACUCUUAGAAUGUUAAGCAGUAUUCUUAAGGGCUAUUGAUAAAUGCUUUAUAAAGAGUUUUUUAAAAAUCUUCAAAAAAAUCAAGAAAACCCAAUUUAAAGAAGUAAAUCACAAAAUCAUAAUGCCUUUAUUUUAGAUUUGUAAAUUUUAAAGUGUGUUUAAAAUCUAAGUACUAGUAUGUAUUGUAUAUAGUAUUGUAUAUAUGUAUGAAGCUUUUUUUUACAGAUUGAUUUAAAAGCAAUGUAAGGACCGCUCCUGCUGAAGAAGUUUAAACCCUCUCAUAUGAACUGAACACAAGGACAAUGAAUGAAAAAUUGAAUUUUAAUGGUUUUUUUUCAAAAAUGGGAUUUUUUUUAGAAUUGGGUCUUUAACAGCG